GCUGUAUAGGCGGUAUAUAGGGUCCAGUUACUAAAAGCCUCGAUAUAUCGGGGUUUUUUGUUAUUUGACAGCAGAAUUACUGGGCUAUUAAGCCCUUUUUUU
rfam:Serratia sp. ATCC 39006 ctg2, whole genome shotgun sequence.